AUCCUUCCUCUGGAGUUCUGUAGCGAGCCCAGGACAAGGGUCUUCCUCAAAGAACUGCCUCUUCUCAACUCUGUACAACAUCCAACAGAGUGGGAUUUGAAGCAAGAGAUCCCUGGUUGUAAUCCGAAGAUUUGCAAGGAUGAACUGCUCAAGACACCCUUUAUUUUGUGAUGUGACAGCUGUGCAUGUCUGUUCAGAGCAUGGCUUGUCUUUCACAUCUCUGACACUGCUGCUGAAACUGGUCAUCCACCACCUCACUGUACUUGCAUCCACUAUUUGGUCUCUAUAAAUGUUUAGCAAGUGUCAAUUAAUGUCUGUGGGUGCAAUUGUUUCCAUGUGGAGGAAUUCUCUGGCACCCCUUUACUUCAGACACGCCUCCAUAUCAGAUGCUAUUCUGUCAGACUGUCCCUCUGCCACGGGGCAACAGCAUGUAACAGGACACUGAUAGAAACCGUCCUCUUAUACUGCCUUACCAUCAACAUCCACCUCUGAUGUUGUGGACCAGCACACUAAAAUAGGAGGCAUUUUGUUCAGAGCUGUCUUUAGGUAGUUACCUGUGGUAUCUGUAAGGGACAGUAAGUCAUCAUAUAGAAAAGGAGGUAAGUCAUCCCUUUUCCAGAGCAAGAAUGCAGAGGUAAAGUGUAAGAUUUUAAAUAGUUUAUCAUGUAUAAAUAAAAAGAAGAGUGCUUUCUCCUUGGACCUGGUUCUAUGAGCUAGAGAUGACAGCUUGGUCAUUUGAAGACCUUCUCUUGGGGAAGUUUAAGAACCGAGAUGAAAUCCUGAUGAUACUGAAAUUAGAGUUUUUGGCACUGACAUCAGUAAGGCUAAUAUUUUAUUCCUUUUACUUUACAAUAGUUCUGUGAUCAUAAAGUGCAAGAUAUGUACUUUUUACUAUGGCUGCACCAUGAAAGCAGGCCUAGAGAGUUAUGUAUAUACCUUUUGUAAAAAAUAAAUAAAAAAUAUAUGGUUUCUUGGUUAAUAUACCACAGGAUUUGUUGGUGGGAUAUGAGCUAAAGGAAUAAAUUAUUAAGAGACUAUUGGCGCUGGGAUACUGCAAUACUGCAAGUGGAAAAAUGUGUAUAGUUGGGACCAGAUGUUAAACUGCAUUUUCAAAAUUAAUAUUCUGUGUGUAGGAUGGUUAUGCAAGCUGAAAGGCUUAAACAAAAUGCAAACCUUCCAGUGGAGAUGAAGAACUGAGGCCUUAACAACUGAAAACUGGAAACUUCUCUUAGGGAAUGCUUUCAAACUGUGGAAUGGAGAUAAGAGCAUUCCUUUUAUUUUCUUUAUUUUUUUUCUUU